AAUGAACGUUGGCGGCGUGGAUUAGGCAUGCAAGUCGAGCGAGAAGCACCAGCUUGCUGGUGUGGACAGCGGCGAAAGGGAGAGUAAUACGUAGAAAUCUGCCCCGGAGUCUGGGAUAGCGUUGGGAAACUGGCGGUAAUACCGGAUAACGUCUUCGGACCAAAGAAUUUCGCUCUGGGAUGAGUCUACGACCUACUAGCUAGUUGGCGGGGUAACGGCCCACCAAGGCAACGAUGGGUAGCGGGUGUGAGAGCAUGAUCCGCCUCACUGGGACUGAGACACUGCCCAGACAUCUACGGAUGGCUGCAGUCGAGAAUCUUGUCAAUGGACGAAAGUCUGAACAAGCGACGCCGCGUGCGGGAUGAAGGCCUUCGGGUUGUAAACCGCUGUCAGAGGAGGAAUUUGACUGAACCAGAGGAACGGCUAAGUUCGUG
rnacentral:rRNA from 1 species